AUUUCAUUUUUAUUUACACUUACAGUUCAAACUGAAAGGGGAGAGGAAUGGGAAAAGAAUGCGGCGCUGUUUCCUUGAUGAAAGAAACGAAACGAUCAAACAUGCAGGGUCAAAUUCCGAAUUUCUUGACGUGCUGGCAGACAUGGGAUUGGAAGUGAUAAGGAGAAACCGGAAGAAUGGCAGUGCAGUAUCGGCUACUAAUGAUGUA